rnacentral:lncRNA from 11 species
UUUGGAGCGCAUGCUUUGCCGCCGCCCGCAUUGCUGAGCCGACAGAAAUAGCUUUGCAACCUGAGACCCAACUCUGUUUUAGUGCGGCCGGGCGGGCGGUCAGAAAUACCCCACACGGGGAAGCAGCCCGGCCUCGCAAAACGACCGGGACUUGAUUAAAACGAGGGUUGCCUUUUAAUUAAGCGGUCCUCCUCCCGCCGGGGCCCAGGGCCGUUCCCAUGAACCGCUUCCACUAGGAUGCAAAACUCCGGAUUCACGGAGCCGGUCGAUGGCUGCAAGUUCAUCCUGAAUCCUAGGAUGGUGCUGAGUCCUUUUGGACCUUUGCAGAGGGGUCUCUGACCCUCUCCCGGCGUGUAGUAAAGGUGAGCCCUCCCUGUGGUACCACCACCGCCGCCAUGGUGUCGCUGUCACUGAAGGUGUGCGUCCGGCAGGGCAACGUGGUCAAGACCAUGCAGUUCACGCCCGGCACUGCCGUCUACGACGCCUGCCGCAUGGUCCGGGAGAGGGUCCCCGAGGCCCAGGCCGGGCAAGCUUCGGAUUAUGGGUUAUUCCUCUCCGAUGAAGAUCCGCGGAAAGGCAUUUGGUUGGAAGCCGGAAGGACCCUGGAUUAUUAUAUGCUGCGGAACGGGGUAUUAUUAUUAUUAUUAUUAUUAUUGACACAACGACAUAGUAUGACACAGCGAA